rnacentral:rRNA from 1 species
AGGGAAAGGUGAAAAGCACCCCGGAAGGGGAGUGAAAUAGAUCCUGAAACCGUGUGCCUACAAGUAGUUAGAGCCCAUUUAUGGGUGAUAGCGUGCCUUUUGUAGAAUGAACCGGCGAGUUACGAUUACAUGCGAGGUUAAGUUGAAGAGACGGAGCCGCAGCGAAAGCGAGUCUGAAUAGGGCGAAAUAGUAUGUGGUUGUAGACCCAAAAC